rnacentral:miRNA from 1 species
UGUUGAUAGUUGGGGAGGAUU